CAAUAGCGUAUAUUAAAGUUGCUGCGGUUAAAAAGCUCGUAGUUGGAUCUCAGUUACGGACAAGUGGUUCUCCUUUCGGUGCUACUACUUGGGCCGGACCUAUUGCUGGUUCCUCCAAGGUCUCCUUCACUGGGUGCCUUGGUAGACCAGAGCGUUUACUUUGAAAAAAUUAGAGUGCUCAAAGCAGGCGAUUGCCUGAGCAGUCGUGCAUGGAGUAAUGGAAAAUGGCCUCGGUGCUAUUUUGUUGGUUCUCGGUACUCGAGGUAAUGGUUGAAAGGGACAGACGGGGGCAUUCGUAUUGCGACGUUAGAGGUGAAAUUCUUAGAUCGUCGCAAGACGAACUACUGCGAAANCANNNGCCAAGAAUGUUUUCAUNAA
rnacentral:rRNA from 1 species